rnacentral:rRNA from 1 species
AUACGUAGGUGGCAAGCGUUGUCCGGAUUUACUGGGUGUAAAGGGCGUGUAGGCGGAGAUGCAAGUCAGGAGUGAAAUCUAGGGGCUCAACCCCUAAACUGCUUUUGAAACUGUAUCCCUUGAGUAUCGGAGAGGCAGGCGGAAUUCCUAGUGUAGCGGUGAAAUGCGUAGAUAUGCCACAGAACGCCGAUAGCGGAGGCAGCUCGCCAGGCCUGCAUGGACGCUCGGGCACGAAAGCGUGGGGAUCGAACAGGAUUAGAUACCCUGGUAGUCCACGCCGUAAACGAUGGGCGCUCGUCGUCGGCGGCAGACAGUCGGCGGCCAAGCGAAAGCGAUAAGCGCCCCACCUGGGGAGUACGGUCGCAAGGCUGAAACUCAAAUGAAUUGACGGGG